GGUACGUACUGGCGUCAUUGGUUUCUCCUUUCUGACGAACCAUGAUGUCAUUAAUUUGGUGUUAUGGGGAGUUAGGACUGUUACUUUGAAAAAAUUAGAGUGUUUAAAGCAGGCAUUAGCUUGAAUACAUUAGCAUGGAAUAAUGAAAUAGGACGUUCGAUCCUAUUUUGUUGGUUUCUAGGAUCAACGUAAUGAUUAAUAGGGAUAGUUGGGGGCAUUAGUAUUCAAUUGUCAGAGGUGAAAUUCUUGGAUUUAUUGAAGACUAACUACUGCGAAAGCAUUUGCCAAGGAUGUUUUCAUUAAUCAAGAACGAAAGUUAGGGGAUCGAAGACGAUCAGAUACCGUCGUAGUCUUAACCAUAAACUAUGCCGACUAGGGAUCGGAUGAUGUUAAUUUUUUAAUGACUCAUUCGGCGCCUUACGGGAAACCAAAGUGUUUGGG
rnacentral:rRNA from 1 species